AGAGCGAACGCUGGCGGCAGGCCUAACACAUGCAAGUCGAGCGCCCCGCAAGGGGAGCGGCAGACGGGAGAGUAACACGUGGGAACGUACCCUUUGGUUCGGAACAACACAGGGAAACUUGUGCUAAUACCGGAUAAGCCCUUACGGGGAAAGAUUUAUCGCCAAAGGAUCGGCCCGCGUCUGAUUAGCUUGUUGGUGAGGUAACGGCUCACCAAGGCUACGAUCAGUAGCUGGUCUGAGAGGAUGAUCAGCCUCACUGGGACUGAGACACGGCCCAGACUCCUACGGGAGGCAGCAGUGGGGAAUAUUGGACAAUGGGCGCAAGCCUGAUCCAGCCAUGCCGCGUGGAUGAUGAAGGCCCUAGGGUUGUAAAGUCCUUUCGACGGGGAAGAUAAUGACGGUACCGUAGAAGAAGCCCGGCUAACUUCGCGCCAGCAGCCGC
rnacentral:rRNA from 1 species